GCCAGCACAAAUCUAGUGUGUGCCUUUAGCACCUCUCUCUGUAUCUUCCUUCCCAAUCGCUUCAUACUUAUGGAGACUAGCAGCGUAGAGGAUGAGUCGAGCGAGGUCGAGAGGCGCUCGUCUCCGCCGCGGCCACCGCCGCUGCCAGCUACUGAGGGCUUGCAAAGACUUGGUAGCGGCGCAAGCGUCGUCCUCGAUCCGGAGGUCGGUGCCGAGUCGCGGAAGCUGCCUUCGUCGAGGUACAAAGGCGUGGUUCCGCAGCCCAACGGGCGGUGGGGGGCGCAGAUCUACGACAAGCACCAACGGGUCUGGUUGGGAACUUUCAACGAGGAAGAUGAGGCCGCGCGGGCCUACGACGUGGCCGCGCAGCGGUUCCGAGGGCGCGACGCUGUCACCAACUUCAAGCCGCUCGUCGAGACCGACGACGUCGACGCGGCGGAGCUCUCUUUCCUGGUUUCACGUUCGAAGGCCGAGAUCGUGGACAUGCUCCGUAAGCACACCUACCACGACGAGAUGCGGCAAAGCAGACAAUCCUCCGGCGCCGAAGGGAGGAGGACUUACCCUUCCCGUGGAGGGAGCAUGGGGUGGUUUGGCGGGCCGCACAGGGAGCACCUCUUCGACAAGGCCGUGACUCCUAGCGACGUCGGCAAGCUGAACAGGCUGGUGAUACCGAAGCAGCACGCGGAGAAGCACUUCCCGCUGCCGCAGACCGGCGCUGCGGCCUGCAAGGCGGUGCUGCUGAACUUCGAGGACGCCUGCGGGAAGGUGUGGCGGUUCCGCUACUCCUACUGGAACAGCAGCCAGAGCUACGUGCUAACCAAGGGCUGGAGACGGUUCGUCAAGGAGGAGGGGCUCAGAGCCGGCGACGUGGUCACCUUCCAUCGGUCGACUGGCCCAGAGAGGCAGCUCUUCAUCGGCCGGAAGACGCGACCGGCCGUUGAGGUGGUGAGGCUCUUCGGCGUGAACAUUGCUGAUGUGAGUGGCGUCGUUAGGCGGAAUGCGAAGAGGACGUGCAGGGACAUGGAAUCCACCGUAUCAUCAUCAUGCGAGCUGCUCAAGAGGCGAUGCAGAGAGGGUUUGUAGCAUCGACCGUUGGAUUUAGGCCAACUUUCCAUCAAUCUUUCACGAAAAGCGGUUGGAAGCAUCACCCUGCAAGAAUAAAAAUGGAAAGAGAAAUAAGAACAAAAUUGCUGAUGGCUUCGGAGGUGGAUGAGUCAUACUCCACCCCGGUGGUGGUCACCUGUGUCAUGCGGGAAGCUAAACACUGUAUCAACUGCACACUUAAGGGACCAUCGACGAUUAGUGGGCACUUGGCGAUGAGGGGCUCAAUAUUUCUCCGUUGGACAUUGUGUAGAGAACAAGGUGUCACACAUCAUGGCUUACAUGGAACUUGCCACAAAGGAUACAACAUGAAGUAAGGAUGAGGUAGUAAAAGACCUGCCUUGAACUUGCACUGGCUUCUGCAAUCUUGCACUCUUAUGUUGAAACUUGGAUUGCUGCGUGGUCACAGGACUUGCUGGUUAUUUCCAACACUGGUUAAUCAUCUGUCCAUCAGUGGUUUAUGAUUGACCAAGAAAUAGAUUAGUAAAUGUCUGAGAAAAGAAACAUGGCUAACACGAUGAUAGCACUCAGAAAAUGCAUGAGAUGUAGUACUUUUCGUCGAAGAAAUUUCUCAAUGAGAACUUCUAAGAAAGAUGUGGCUGUCUGCCACAAGACCUUUGUCUUACAGUAAAUGCUGUUCAAGUACGAUAAUGAA